rnacentral:rRNA from 1 species
GAGACAGCAGCAGCCGCGGUAAAACGAGGGGGGCAAGCGUUGUUCGGAAUUAUUGGGCGUAAAGGGCGCGUAGGCGGUUUGACAAGUCUGAUGUGAAAUCUCUGGGCUCAACCCAGAGUCUGCAUCGGAAACUGUCGAGCUUGAGUAUGGGAGAGGUGAGUGGAAUUUCCGGUGUAGCGGUGAAAUGCGUAGAUAUCGGAAGGAACACCUGUGGCGAAAGCGGCUCACUGGACCAUUACUGACGCUGAGGCGCGAAAGCUAGGGGAGCAAACAGGAUUAGAUACCCCGGUAGUCCCUGUCUCUUAUAC